CUUUCUCUGUUGCUGAGGCUGAAGUGCAGUGGCGUGAUCUCAGCUCACUGCAACCUCUGCCUCCCGGGUUCAAGCAAUUCUCCUGCCUCAGCCUCCAGAGUAGAUGGGAUUACAGGUGCACGCCACCAUGCCCAGCUAAUUUUUUGUAUUUUUAGUAGAGACGGGGUUUCACCAUGCUGGCCAGGGAGCUCUUUUUACAGACAUCAUACGUAGAGCACACACAGACAAGCAGAAGAAAAGUCAGUCGCUGGAUGGGGCCCUUUAAGAGAUAGGGCCACAUGCAGAUAUCAAACCAGAAAGAACCAUUCCCUAAGGCAGGGUUGCUAAACAAAACCAAAAAAACUUUAAAGGUUAAUUUGUUGAUGGGGUAGAGUAGGGGAAAGAAAAGAAACAGUUUAAAAAUAUCUGGGGAAGAACCUCUUAUUCUUAGGCAAGUGGUUCCUCCGCUGGGGAGAAAAGUUUAAUUACUGUCCCGUGGAGUUGAAACCGUUUGGCUGGGGAAGGGGAAAGCUGCUGCAGCAUGGCUGGGAACCAGCCUGCUGGCUGUGUGGGACCCUUGGGCACCGCGUCCCAGCCCCAGCAUGGAGGUGGGAGGGGCUGAGAGCUGUUGCUCCUUGGUUCUUCCUGAGAAAGGAAGGAAAAGGCCAUGAAAAGGCCCCCAACCCCCAGGAGUGGAGAGGGAUGGGGGUUCAAACCCCAGAAGCGACAAGGAGUGGGGGUGCAGUUUCUUGUAAGUUCAGACGUCUGAGGUUGAAAAGGCUUAGAAAUCACAGUGAGAGGUUUUGAGUUCCCAUUUCACUCACCACUUCUGGAGCCCCUCAUUUGCGGCAAAAACGUUGCAUAACUUUUCCUUAGUUCAGGUAAAAAUGUGGGGGCUCUUGUCUGUCCAACAGCCAUGAAAAUUUAGGCUCACAGACAGUUUAAAGGGUGAGUAAAGCAGGGUUUUAUUGGGUGAAAAGGGCCGGGGGGCGGGUGGGGAAAGGACACGGAUCCUCCACACGGCCAGAGUACCCUGCUAGAGCACUUCCCACCUGGCUAUUUGAAUCUCAGGUUCCGCACAGGAAGAGGAGGGGCUGGGCUCCUCCGCAUUGCAAAGGGUGCAAACUUUCUGAGGUUCCAGUCCAGUGGGCAGGCUGGUUAGAGUUCCUCUAGGGGCCCCCUCCCACCUGGCUGUCUCACUUACAACUUCCCUGUUCUGUAUGAUGUUGUCUAUGAGUUUGUCAUACAUGACUUGUAUUAUUUUGAGGCUCAGAAGUACAUAUUCAGGUUUGUUGUACAGCUCCCAGACUUCAUCCUGCUUCAGCUCCUGUCAUCCUGUGCUGUGGAAUUCCUAAACCUCUUAGCUUGAGCCCUGCAACGAUCUGAUUUUCACUCCGUUCUAGGAAGGUUCCAUUCUUCAGUGUGGAGCACAUAUAAGUAUGCAUCUAUAUUGGAGAAAUGAAUGCUAAACAAACGAGGAGGUGGGGCCUUUGAGAGGCCAUUAUAUCAUGAAGGCAGAACACUCAGGAAUGGGGUCAGUGCCGUUAUAAAAGAUGCCCUGGAGAGACCUUUUGUCCCUUCUACCAGAUUGGAAAAGCAUUGGAAAAUUUGUCCAAAGUCACUCAACAGAUUCAUGAUGGAUCCUGGAUUCACAGCCAGCUUUACUUGGCAAUAAAAUUCAAGUCCUGUUCACAUCACAACACAUUUUUACCGAAAGAAAAAUAUGAUGUGUAGAUGUUUGGAGGCAUCCUAUCUUAAUGAGGCUUUUGUUAGAAAGAGUUUUCUUAAAAUUACAGGGUUGGGGAAAUAAAAAAUGUUUGUUGCUCAGAUUAACAAAAAAAUGGUAUAUAGAAAAUAAAGCUAAGAAAGGAAAGUGCAGACAACCAAGAGACUAGAAUUUUCAAUAAAUGGCAAAAUUGUGGUGUUCUGUGGUUACCUCUUGAAGAUUUGGCCUGAAUCAUGCAACAAUUGCCCCUUACCCUCAGUCCUCAAAUUACAAUAGUGAAAGAGGUUUCUAUAGGUAUUAUAUUUGAAUCUGCUAUAUUUUGUUUAUUACUUGCAAGGACAUAUAGGAGAGCAAAAGUUUUCCCUCUAAUUUCUUAGGUUUAGUAACUGGAACUUGUGAAUUAAACUGGCAAAAUACAGAUUAACAGGAGAAGAGUCAUAGACAUUUUAUUUUAAAUUUCAUAUGCAAUGUAGUUCCAGAGAAAAGAAGUGAAAGCCUGAAGAAGCAAUUAGACUUGAGGAGUUAUAUCUUUAACAAAGGGUGGUGAGUGUAGAGAAGUGACUAGAUUUUUUUUAAGAUGGUUUUAGGCUUCCAAGGGUGAUAAACCAUGGGAAGGAAAAUACAUGAGGGAAACUAAUGGUAUAUAGGAGUUAUUUAGUAAGGUUUGUUUACACAGACUAAUCUCAGUGGUAAGAACGGUUUUUCUCCUUUUUCUGGUCAGGGGAAGGAGAAGGGACACCAUCACAAUGGGAAUUUGUGCUUUGCUGGUAGACAAAUAGGAGCAGAGCAGAGAACUUCUUUCUCUCAAUUGUCUUCAGCUCAGAAUAAUCCUUAUGCCAAACAGGCAUAAUUUGGAAUUACAUAUUUUCAUCCUCUCCACACACAAGCUUCCGUAUAAAGUUCAAAGACAGUAGUAUUUUCUUAUAAUUCACUCUGCCCCAAAUAUUAACUAAGAUGACAUUCUUUUUCCAGCUUGAUUCUGCAACAUUCACUUCCAGAAACUUUAUCACUCUUAAUCCUGGAUUGAAGGAAAAUAUUUGAAUGUGAUAAAGGAUAUAUAUUUUAAAAAGAAAGGAACUAUAAUAAAAGGCAAGAUUCAGAAAUUAUGUUGUAAUCUGUGACUUAGUGCAAUUUAGUCCUUGAAUUUCUUGUGUGCAAUUUAUUGAAGCUAUCUUAUUAUAUGUUAAUUCUGUGUCUUCUUUGCCCUCUCUUUUUGUAAAAAUUUUCUUUUUCUGAAUUUUUUUCCAGAGUCAAUCAUUGAUCUUCUUGAUAACAUUCAUUUCCCUUGGUGAACUAACUUUGGUUCAUCGCUUUAUCAUUCUUCUCCAGGCUGUUUUUGAAGGGUCUGUGAGCUGAGAAUGGUUUUUAAUAGAUAAAUGCUCACAAUCAAUUUGGGGAUAAGAAAUAUUAUUUUGAAUCUCAGUUACAAAAAAUGUUAUCCUUCAUAAAAUAAUUCAUUUUUUUCUCAGUAAUAAAAAUGUAUUUCAAAAAUAUGGUGUCCUUAUUAUAUUUUAAAUUUUGCCAAUAAAAAUAAUAAAAAUUGAUUUUCUCUAAUUAUGUAAGUACCUAGAUGAUUUUUAAAAUUUUGUCUCUUGACUUAUACAAAGCCUAAAAUAUUUAUAACUGCC
rnacentral:lncRNA from 1 species